GAUGAACGCUAGCUACAGGCUUAACACAUGCAAGUCGAGGGGAAACGACAUCGAAAGCUUGCUUUUGAUGGGCGUCGACCGGCGCACGGGUGAGUAACGCGUAUCCAACCUGCCCACCACUUGGGGAUAACCUUGCGAAAGUAAGACUAAUACCCAAUGAUAUCUCUAGAAGACAUCUGAAAGAGAUUAAAGAUUUAUCGGUGAUGGAUGGGGAUGCGUCUGAUUAGCUUGUUGGUGGGGUAACGGCCUACCAAGGCAACGAUCAGUAGGGGAUCUGAGAGGAAGGUCCCCCACAUUGGAACUGAGACACAGACCAAACUGCUACGGAAGGGAGCAGUGAGGAAUAUUGGGCAAUGGACGAGAGUCUGAACCAGCCAAGUAGCGUGCAGGAAGACUGCCCUAUGGGUUGUAAACUGCUUUUAUAAGGGAAUAAAGUGAGUCUCGUGAGACUUUUUGCAUGUACCUAAUGAAUAAGGACCGGCUAAUUCCGUG
rnacentral:rRNA from 1 species